CUUUUCAUUGGGACCUCUCACUGCUCCUUUAUUUUGUGCCUAUAAAAUCAUGCCAGGAAAUCCUGAGCCUGGGUGCCAGAAUGAUUAAAAACUUCCCAGCAAGGUGCGUGAAAAUCAGAGAAAGUACCUGUCACUGUCACUGUCGCUCCGCUCCCUUGGCUUCUAGGCGGCUUGUCACUCCCAUCUUUCCAAACACCCAACUGAGACUUUUUCUCUGUUCUGAGAAGCAGGUAAGGACAUCUGUCUCCCUCUGACCUCCCUCACAUCUUCAUCUCUUCAGAUACCUCUAACCUAUUUGGAAACAGUGGGGCCAAGACAUUUGGUGGAUUUGCCAGCUCGUCGUUUGGAGAGCAGAAACCCACUGGCACUUUCAGCUCUGGAGGAGGAAGUGUGGCAUCCCAAGGCUUUGGGUUUUCCUCUCCAAACAAAACAGGUGGCUUCGGUGCUGCUCCAGUGUUUGGCAGCCCUCCUACUUUUGGGGGAUCCCCUGGGUUUGGAGGGG
rnacentral:sRNA from 1 species